AAUGAAGAACUGAUAUUAAGCAAAGAAACCAAAGACAAACGCUUAGAGGAUGGUUACUUCAGGAUAGGGAAAUUUGAAAAUGGUAUAGCUGAAGGAACAGUUGACCCCAGCCUAAACCCUAUUUCAUCAUUCCGGCUUUCAGUGAUACAAAAUUCAGCAGUCUGGGCAAUUCUGAAUGAGAUUCAUAUUAAAAAGCUUACAAACUGAUCAUGGAGAUCUGCUUUAGAGGAAAAAGAAAGAAUCCUUGAAAACUUUUCCUAUAAAAUCUGACAUCCUUAGCAAGUCACGAAUUGAAAAUACUGAGCAUGCACCUUAUUCCAAAUUUAUUUUAUUUUCACUUGAACUCUACCUCUUGUGAAAUCUACUGUAGAUGAGAAGAUUGUAUUUACCCCUUCUUAGCUGAUCCAUCCAGAAGCUGAUACUCCACACUGAUAACCUUCGUCUGAGGCCUAAGUUGUCCUCCACUUUAAUGUGACUUGACCAUCUUAUGGUUACAGAACCCUGCUACGCUUAACCUGUACUAUUUUGAUAGUAUAGUAAUAUAGAGAGGUUGUACAUAUUGUUACAUUCCUUGAAGAAGAAGAAAAAAUAUUAUUGUUAAAUAUGUUUUAUGAAGGGGGUACUUUCAGAGUUCCAUUUAUUUUCUAUAACAAGAACCCUCUUUUAUAGACUGUCAGGGAUAUAUAUUAAAAAUGUUAGGGAUAUUUAAUUUAUUAAAAUAAUUUGAAAAGUACAUAUUUUUAUGCAGUAAAAUUUUGAAUUGAUAUAGGUUUUUUUAUGAAUUCUCUAGUUUAAGUUACCUUUCUACAUUUUUCUUUGGAGAUGCAAACAUAAAUUAAUACCAUAUUUCAAAUGUACUGCCAUGUUUAAAAAAAAUAGAUUAAGUUUCUAAAUUACAUAGUUUUGUAUACAGAAUCUGAAUGAUGUUCAGAGGCAUUAACAGAGUUCUGAAGAGCAUUAUUCUUUGGGGCUAUGAAACUCCACUAUGUACAGUUUGUAGCCACAUAAAAAGCAUGCUGAAAUGUUUUGUUUCAUAUUACGUACUAAAUCUGCAGUGAUUUUAGACUGAAUCCAUUGCAUUUUAGAAGAAUUUUUUCAAUUCCAAACAGUUCUUUCUAAAAA